CCUACGGGGGGCAGCAGUGAGGAAUAUUGGUCAAUGGGAGGAAUCCUGAACCAGCCAUGCCGCGUGCAGGACGACGGCUCUACGAGUUGUAAACUGCUUUUGUACCGGGGUAAAAUGCCUUACGAGUAGGGUUUUGAAAGUACGGUACGAAUAAGGAUCGGCUAACUCCGUGCCAGCAGCCGCGGUAAUACGGAGGAUCCGAGCGUUAUCCGGAUUCAUUGGGGUUAAAGGGUGCGUAGGCGGCGCUUCAGGUCAGCGGUGAAAUACCGGGGCUCAA
rnacentral:rRNA from 1 species